rnacentral:misc_RNA from 1 species
GAAAACUUUAGAAGCAAUAUUAUAAUUUAUCGUUAACUUUUUCAAGUUCAACUUAGUUCUUUGUCUAUAAUUACAACAAAUAAAAGUUAGAUAUAAUAUAAAAAAUUUGAAGAUUUAACUAUAAUUGUAAAUUCACGCAAACGUGUACACUUUUUCAUCCAUUAGGCCUAUUUGAAAGUCAAAUUAAAAUUUAAUCUAUCUUUAUUUAAGUAGAAUUGAAAUUUACAACGAAGUUUAUGAAUAUCAAAAACUGUUAUUCAUUUAAUGAAAUCCAUCAGAAUCUAUAAAUUAAAAUCAAUACGUAAUCCUAAAUUCAGUAAUAAAAGAAUAAGGAGAGAAAAAGACAUCAACAAAAAUUUCAAACCUAUAAUUUUAUUGAUAAUUGCAUCAAUGACUUCUUUCCUUUCCUUAUUUCUUUUCUUAUCCAUUUUUAUUUGUUUGCCGAGGAUGAACAUAGGUAUGAUCAUGCAUCAAUUUUAACAGAAAAUAGAGUUGAAUUGAUUUAAUUCGGUUUUGAUUCUGUUUUUCAGUUAAUCAGUUUGGUUUCGAUUAUCAUUUAAAAAAAAUUUUCAAUUUUCAUUUUGAUUUGGUUUGGUUAAUUUAGUCAAAAAAUGAAUUAACCGAAUCAAAUCGAUUUUCACACAAUGUUGCAUUGUUUUAAGCCUCUAUGUAUUGCAAUCUCACUCACCCUCACACAAGUCUUUGCCAUUCAUUCACUUUCAUUUACUUCUGGAGUUAAGUCACUUCUUCAUUCUUCCCUCAUUGCCAUCGAUCAUGCCUUUGCUCAGAUGAUGGCUCGCUUCUCAUUUUGGUUGAC